UUCUGGCUUAAAGGCGAUUUCUUUAGUGUUAAUUCCCAAUUUCGCGUCGGUGAACGAAAGAUGAAAAGAAAUUUUGUUCUUUUUACCGCUUAUUGCCCCCAUUCGCUUACAAUUUUGACCGUGCUGAUGCCAAGUUUCUUUACUGCUUCUCUUUUUGCUUAUCGCAUGCUAAUUGUGCCUUCCCUCUUGGUAGUUUUAGCUUUCUUUUUUCAGCGAACAAUGGAUUGAGUUUUAGGGCUUCAAUUUGUUCUUGAAGUAACAUUAUCCUUUUCUUGUAUUGUUUUGUGGAAGAACUUAUCCUUGUUAACUGUCAACCAGGCAACGCUUUAUGUCUAUGAUCAACUUAAAAUGCUGACUAGAGUAUAUUUUUUUUAGUAGAAAAAUGUUGUGUUGGAUACUGGAGUUUGCAUUUUACAAUUCAAACUAAUUUUGGAUGCUCAGUUGAACAGAGUAUGCUCUGUGUUAUGACAUCGAUUUGUUUUGCUUUCUUUUGGUUUCAUAUUGACCAUUUUUUGCCCACUUUAGUAAAGGAAAUUCAUAUUGAGUGGAGCCAACUAGGAAAGGACUAUCUGAGAAUAGGGUAAGAGGCCACCUCAUGGCAGGCUGCACCAUUGAGCUCGGCCGCAAGUCAGGACAGUAGUUUCAUGGAAAUGGGAGGAUGUUAUUAUGAUUUAUAGGGCUAGAUGAACUUACUACCGAUAAUUUGGACUCAAGCAUUGUUGUAUCAUUGGGCCAAUAAUUUUAUUAGGCUGGGAGGUGGUGACGGGGUCCAUCAUAAUGUUUAUGUAACUACUUGAUGAUCAGCAAGUUUUCAAGGGCCUGUUACGAAGUACAUGCAUAUAUCAUAGCAUUUGAUCUUGUAUGGAAUGUUUAUAAAUAAUUUGAAGAAACUUUAUGGAAUGUAUGCUUGUUUUGGGUCCCUAAAAUUUGAUCUAGUAUGGACAAUUCAUCUCCCACAUUGCAUUUGGCAGCUCACUUGCCAAGACUGCAAGGCAUAGCGUGCUUCACAGUGCUAUAUUCGUCGAGACUUUGUGUUGUUUGUAUGCCAAUUUCUCAUUCUGCUUCGACAUUGAUAGAGUGUGCCUCUUGAUUUGACUACAAUCUUUUUACUCAUGUUCUUAGAUUGGUUAGCAGUCUUUGCUACUAACUGGUCUACAUUUUGAUGCAGAACUCUAACAAAAUUAAAAAGGCCAAUUGCCCAGUUUUUGUAAUUCAUGUAAGUGCUUUGUCUUAAAUACAUGCGUUUUGUCCUGCAAACAACUAGUGGCUUGAUUCUUUCUAUUGAGAAUAAUUUAAAGGCUUCUUUUUUUUUUUGUGAAGCAGUAGUAUUUGAAUCCUCAACAACUCUGCUGUAGGUUGAUGUUUUUCCACUGCAUUAGAACUUUGAACUUGCAAAUUGGCCUUAUUUUCUAAACCAGUAGUUCAAAGAAAAAAGAUCUGUUUUUCUAUAAACGUAACAUUGAACAGUCUCAGUUUCUUUUAUUUAUCGAUUCUUUUCAGCUGCUACGCUAAACUUCUGCAUUCAGUGAUUAGUUUGGAAUAUGGUGUCAAUUUCCUCGUGCACUUUCAUGAAUUUAAAGUGCUAUUUAACUUGUGCAUUAUGCUCACCAAAGUGAACACUGUAGACCUUGCUGGAACUCAUUCGGUACUACAGUACUGCUGCCUAGAGACUUCGCUUAUUCACCAUCAUAUUCCAAAGUUUUGGUUUAAGAUUUUCCUUAUUUAUGAUUAUUGCUGCGGAAGGUAUAAUAAUUCAGAAUUAUUAGCAGAAAUCAGUCAACGACCACUUCUCGGAAGGCGAUAGCUAGCAUGUGAACUGAAACUACACUUUUCUCUGUGUUUCCUUCUUCUGCCUCUCAUCGAUUUUUCAGAAAUAAGAUGAUAUCUGACUGAUCCUGUUGUCUCCUUCCGAGUCAUAUCAAACCCCUAGGAUUUCCAAGGACUGGAUUACCCAUUUCAUAGUGGUAAGUAAGGCAUUCAUUUUGGAACCGAUGUCAAUCUUUUCAUAGGCAGCUGCAGUGACACAUAAAUGUAUCCUCAAACAUCUCUCAGCCAAUGUUAGUGAUCAUUGAGCUUCUAACCGGGUAUCUCCAUUAAUACUGUUUAGGCCUGUUAUUUUUAGUUACUUUGUUUUACGUUCCAAUAUGUACAUGUUGUCAAUUUCUGCUGUAUAUUGUCAGUAAUUCCUUGAGUUUUGUGAGCAAUGAUAUCCCUUAUUGAGAAGUUCAAAUACGAGUAUCAGAAUGAUCAUUAUAAAUAUUCCUGAUAACGUUAUGCGACUGGUUCCAAUCCUUUACCAUUAGAUAAUUUUAAAAUGUUGAUUCGCUGAUAGUUGUUUUCAAAUAUAAUCUUUGAUCUCUCCUAUAAAUUAGGGAUUCCUGAGUUUGGACCACGUCAAAGAUAACUUUCACAUGGUUUAUGUGGUAGUGUUUCCGUAUUUUACCUUGCUUCAUCUUGAUUUAUCAAUAGUUCUUUUUUAGAGAAUCAAAAUCUAUAAAAGAUUAGGGAGUUUAGACUUUGCACCAUGUCAAGGCUUAAAAACUCUUUGCUUUGGUGUGCUUCCUGUUGUAAGAACUCCUACUAAGAUCUUGAUUCUUGUUAAUAUAAUCUAGUACUUUUGUCUCAUGACUAAUACAAUAUUCAUCUUAUUGCACUUGUUGGUGUGUUUUAUCCAUACAAUCGAGGAGCCCUUUUCACAGUUCUCAUAUCAUAUAUGCUCUGACUUCCGGUAUUGCUGCUUACACAGCGAACUCCUUUUAUAUGCAGCUCGAAGGGACUAACUGAGUAAGUGGAUGCUUCAAGAUUAAUAUCUGACCUUCUCAUUUCUCCUAGAUAAUUCCACUAUUCAGUUGAUCUGAUAGUAGACAUUGCAAUCUAUUUUUGCAUCUUGAAGCUCUUGUGCUUGAACAUAUUUGUAAAUGAAAUGCUUCUAUUGUCAUUUAGUUGUUCUGAGUUGAUUUGUGGUUUUUGAAUAAUGGCAAACAUUAAGGUGGUACUAUAGUUCAACAAUUUCCAUGGACUUCGUAUUAAAAUUUAUCAUGUGGGUAGCAGAUAUUCCUCCUCUAUACAUAGAUAUGAACAAAUAAAACAAAGAGUUAAAAGCUUUGGCAUACUUACAUGAUUUAACUUCAUCUGUACCAUUAAUCUGAUCCAAUACCAAAUACACUAUAAAUGAGGAUAUUAGGUACCUGAGAAAUUUAACAUUGAGUAAUUUCAAGAUGAAUCUCAGGAAAAAAGCAAUAUAUAGAAUAGAACUUGUGCCUUGUGAAGUCAGCCAAGGAGAAAGCCAAGAGGGCUACAAUAUUAGUGCUGAUUUCUGUUAAUAUCAUUUGAUACUUCUGUCUCAUGACCAUUACAAUUUUCAUCGUCCUUCUUGCACUUUUUGGUGUGUUUUAUCCAUACAUUGGGGAGUCCUUUUCACAGCUCUUGUUGUCAUAAAUACUCUGACUUCUGGUAUCGUUGGUUACAUAACAACCUCCUUUUAUAUGCAGCUUGAAGGUAAAAGGUUAUUUCAGCAUUAAUUUCUAGUCACCACUUGUGGUCUCCAUGGGUUGAUUCUAUUUGCCUCUCUUUUACCGGAGGCAAGGAAUUUGUUAUUGAAAACUACAAAUUCUUGAUUAAUCUAAUUCCAAGGAACUGUUCAGCCUUGAAAAAUCAUAAUUUUUUAAAAAUAAUAAUAAUUUGAAGCAUUAAUUAAGAUCUUAUAGUGAGGUAUGAUUACAUACAUCAAGGAUUGUUGUACCAUCUGAAACAGUGUGGUUUGGGCGUUGUGUAUACGUCCAAGCAGGGUUUGCCAUACCGAGCCGUACCGCCCGGUACGGGCGGUAUGUACCGGUCCGAGGCACUGUAGCACUGUAGCAGUUCACUGUAUCACUGUAGCAGUGCUACAGUACUCGAUACACCUGGGUGUACUGUUCGGUAUACCGUACCGUACCGGUACCGAGCCCAGAUCGAAAUAUCGGUAUGGUACGAUAUUGCGAACCUUGUGUCCAAGCAUGGACCGAUACACAGGCUGUCUGAAUUAAAAUAUUAAAAAAUUAAAAAGGGGUGGGUCCCAGUUCAUUUGAGUAUUAGAAAAAACAAAAGGCAGAUUAGGGCUCUUGACGCUGCCGCUGCUUCCUAGGUAUCGCUGCACUUCUUCUCUUCCUUAUUUUUUCUUCAUCUUCUUCCUUCUUCCUCCUCUAUUCCUCCAUCGGACCUUCCACUUCAACCUCAUUUUCUUCCUUAUCAAAUCAUCAGUAUGCAUCAAUGUACCAUGUGUUGGUACACUGGUACGGGGCGGCACACCGGUGUGGACCGAUAAGUUAAACCUUGGUAUACAUUUGAUAUAUUUUAAGAUUUAUGACUUUGGGAAGAUCUCACCAGAGAAUUAACCUCGCAUCUCAUCACUUGUAAUGUCAUAUUUUUAGACACAUCAGAUGUUCGAAGAGACUUGUAUCGAUCUAUAAAGAUUAUAUGAGUCCACUAUAAUUAACUUGAGUUUAAGCAUCAACAUUGGUUUAUAAAGAUUCAGAUGAUUUUACUAUAAUUGAUCCGUCAAGUUAAUGAGACAAUUAGCUCAUCGAGUUAGUUCUGAUAAAAGGCACUAAAAAAUUAUCUAAGAAAUAUUGGUUAAUGCUAAAUUCAGUUUUGAAGACCCUGAUGGUUCUAAAAGAUAAGAUAUGAGUAGCACAAGUGUUAACUAAAGUAAUCAGAUUCUUCCAUGUAGCAGAUUGGAUUGAUGCAGAAUAAUCACUGAGAAAGUUUAUUUGACAUCCAUGAAACUUCUUAUUUAUGUUCUUGUGACCAUCGCUGCUAACCACAGUGAAACAUAAUUUUGUGGAAGUUUCUCUAAAUAAAGAUGCUGAAACACUUUCGAGCUUGAAAUUUUGAUGACAGCUUCACAGCAGAUACUUCAAGUGUGUUUAACGGCAGCAAAUACUUCAAGAUUGAGCAGAGUGAUAUCAGCAGAGAAAUAGGAUGGCUGGAUCCAAGCAGCACUCAUCAACAAGAAGGCAGCAGUAUAGGGUAGCAAGGCUGCGAAACAAAACAUUCUAGUUAGUGGAGAAGUCAACAUUCUAGUUAGUGGAGAAGUCAUCAAAAAACCGUAUGAAGACAUACAUAGGGAGGCUACUGCCACCACAAGCACCACAUUCACGACCAACUGUUGCUGUGGGAUUAGACGCAGGAAACCUAAUUGCUGGAGGUACCCAUGGGGAAGAUGUCUAAUGGUGCAGUGCUCCAAGGGAUGUGCAUACCUGUGCAACUGAUGUUGUAGAGAUUGGCAUUGAUGGUGGCCUCCUCUGUACAGACUUGCUCUAACUUCCAAACCUAUCUAUUGUAUCGAAAUGUCAACAGGGACAAUCGAGCUAUCGUUUGCUUGAGCAUCGAGAGAAUAGAUUCUAGUUUUUUUAACUGAAACUACACUGAUGAUCUCCAUGCUGUAGAAAUCUCAAUUUGGUGGUGUUGUAUAGUUAUUGCCCA